CAGGUGGGGAUGUACUGUAAUCGGGAUUGGAAAAGCCUGAAUUCCUCAGCGAGGGAAACGGAUGCAUUAGAAAAUCAAAUCAACAGAUCCGGAAUUGAAUGGAGUUUUGCUAUGACUUCCUCAUUCCUGAAGUGGUGGAGACGGAGGAGAAUAAGUGUGACGCUGACUUGUAGAGGCAGAACAUGGAGAAGCUGUUAUCACACAGCUAAGCACCAUGACGAUAGAGGAGCUGCUCAAGUCCCUGCAGAAGAAAUGUUGAGUGGAAUGUAAAGAGGCUCACAGACACAUUGGUGUUACGCCCUCAACGGUCUGGCAGGCAUCCACAUCAUCAGAGAUGAGUUUGUGGAGGCAGUGGAGAUGUACAAAGAAACCCUGACGUCUUCCGAGGAACACAAAGGACGACUGAAGAUCGAUUCACUGCAGG